rnacentral:rRNA from 1 species
UGUGAGCUCGAUGAGUAGGGCGGGACACGUGGUAUCCUGUCUGAAUAUGGGGGGACCAUCCUCCAAGGCUAAAUACUCCUGACUGACCGAUAGUGAACCAGUACCGUGAGGGAAAGGCGAAAAGAACCCCGGCGAGGGGAGUGAAAAAGAACCUGAAACCGUGUACGUACAAGCAGUGGGAGCACAGAGCAAUCUGUGUGACUGCGUACCUUUUGUAUAAUGGGUCAGCGACUUAUAUUCUGUAGCAAGGUUAACCGAAUAGGGGAGCCGAAGGGAAACCGAGUCUUAACUGGGCGUUAAGUUGCAGGGUAUAGACCCGAAACCCGGUGAUCUAGCCAUGGGCAGGUUGAAGGUUGGGUAACACUAACUGGAGGACCGAACCGACUAAUGUUGAAAAAUUAGCGGAUGACUUGUGGCUGGGGGUGAAAGGCCAAUCAAACCGGGAGAUAGCUGGUUCUCCCCGAAAGCUAUUUAGGUAGCGCCUCGUGAAUUCAUCUCCGGGGGUAGAGCACUGUUUCGGCAAGGGGGUCAUCCCGACUUACCAACCCGAUGCAAACUGCGAAUACCGGAGAAUGUUAUCACGGGAGACACACGGCGGGUGCUAACGUCCGUCGUGAAGAGGGAAACAACCCAGACCGCCAGCUAAGGUCCCAAAGUCAUGGUUAAGUGGGAAACGAUGUGGGAAGGCCCAGACAGCCAGGAUGUUGGCUUAGAAGCAGCCAUCAUUUAAAGAAAGCGUAAUAGCUCACUGGUCGAGUCGGCCUGCGCGGAAGAUGUAACGGGGCUAAACCAUGCACCGAAGCUGCGGCAGCGACGCUUAUGCGUUGUUGGGUAGGGGAGCGUUCUGUAAGCCUGUGAAGGUGUACUGUGAGGUAUGCUGGAGGUAUCAGAAGUGCGAAUGCUGACAUAAGUAACGAUAAAGCGGGUGAAAAGCCCGCUCGCCGGAAGACCAAGGGUUCCUGUCCAACGUUAAUCGGGGCAGGGUGAGUCGACCCCUAAGGCGAGGCCGAAAGGCGUAGUCGAUGGGAAACAGGUUAAUAUUCCUGUACUUGGUGUUACUGCGAAGGGGGGACGGAGAAGGCUAUGUUGGCCGGGCGACGGUUGUCCCGGUUUAAGCGUGUAGGCUGGUUUUCCAGGCAAAUCCGGAAAAUCAAGGCUGAGGCGUGAUGACGAGGCACUACGGUGCUGAAGCAACAAAUGCCCUGCUUCCAGGAAAAGCCUCUAAGCAUCAGGUAACAUCAAAUCGUACCCCAAACCGACACAGGUGGUCAGGUAGAGAAUACCAAGGCGCUUGAGAGAACUCGGGUGAAGGAACUAGGCAAAAUGGUGCCGUAACUUCGGGAGAAGGCACGCUGAUAUGUAGGUGAAGUCCCUUGCGGAUGGAGCUGAAAUCAGUCGAAGAUACCAGCUGGCUGCAACUGUUUAUUAAAAACACAGCACUGUGCAAACACGAAAGUGGACGUAUACGGUGUGACGCCUGCCCGGUGCCGGAAGGUUAAUUGAUGGGGUCAGCGCAAGCGAAGCUCUUGAUCGAAGCCCCGGUAAACGGCGGCCGUAACUAUAACGGUCCUAAGGUAGCGAAAUUCCUUGUCGGGUAAGUUCCGACCUGCACGAAUGGCGUAAUGAUGGCCAGGCUGUCUCCACCCGAGACUCAGUGAAAUUGAACUCGCUGUGAAGAUGCAGUGUACCCGCGGCAAGACGGAAAGACCCCGUGAACCUUUACUAUAGCUUGACACUGAACAUUGAGCCUUGAUGUGUAGGAUAGGUGGGAGGCUUUGAAGUGUGGACGCCAGUCUGCAUGGAGCCGACCUUGAAAUACCACCCUUUAAUGUUUGAUGUUCUAACGUGGACCCGUGAUCCGGGUUGCGGACAGUGUCUGGUGGGUAGUUUGACUGGGGCGGUCUCCUCCUAAAGAGUAACGGAGGAGCACGAAGGUUGGCUAAUCCUGGUCGGACAUCAGGAGGUUAGUGCAAUGGCAUAAGCCAGCUUGACUGCGAGCGUGACGGCGCGAGCAGGUGCGAAAGCAGGUCAUAGUGAUCCGGUGGUUCUGAAUGGAAGGGCCAUCGCUCAACGGAUAAAAGGUACUCCGGGGAUAACAGGCUGAUACCGCCCAAGAGUUCAUAUCGACGGCGGUGUUUGGCACCUCGAUGUCGGCUCAUCACAUCCUGGGGCUGAAGUAGGUCCCAAGGGUAUGGCUGUUCGCCAUUUAAAGUGGUACGCGAGCUGGGUUUAGAACGUCGUGAGACAGUUCGGUCCCUAUCUGCCGUGGGCGCUGGAGAACUGAGGGGGGCUGCUCCUAGUACGAGAGGACCGGAGUGGACGCAUCACUGGUGUUCGGGUUGUCAUGCCAAUGGCACUGCCCGGUAGCUAAAUGCGGAAGAGAUAAGUGCUGAAAGCAUCUAAGCACGAAACUUGCCCCGAGAUGAGUUCUCCCUGACUCCUUGAGAGUCCUGAAGGAACGUUGAAGACGACGACGUUGAUAGGCCGGGUGUGUAAGCGCAGCGAUGCGUUGAGCUAACCGGUACUAAUGAACCGUGAGGCUUAACCUU